ensembl:lncRNA
CCCAGGAGUUGAGAAGCCUCGGAAGGGCUGGGCCUGGGUCAGAGGCACGAAGGGGCAGUGGCUCAGCCAAACCUUCUUUCACCUGACUGACGGAUGCUUCUCCUGCACCACAUGAGUACAGUUGCUGCAUCCUGGAGAACAGUGGGAUGGCUUGUCACCAAAUACUGGAGCAUCCAGAUCGCUGGUGGCUCCUGGUCCCCAAGACUGCCUGAGCCGCGGAGUAACCUCAGGGCGGAGGGCACUCCUGUCUCCAUAGUCUGUGGCGCCAGCCGCCUCUUUCUCAAGGAAGAGUCCAC